AGGACGAACGCUGGCGGCGUGCUUAACACAUGCAAGUCGAGCGGUGAUCCUCCUUCGGGAGGUGAUCAGCGGCGAACGGGUGAGUAACACGUGGGCAACCUGCCCCUCACACUGGGAUAACCUCGGGAAACCGGGGCUAAUACCGGAUACGACCUCGAGCGGCAUCUCUUGAGGUGGAAAGCUCCGACGGUGAGGGAUGGGCCCGCGGCCUAUCAGCUUGUUGGUGGGGUAAUGGCCUACCAAGGCGACGACGGGUAGCCGGCCUGAGAGGGCGACCGGCCACACUGGGACUGAGACACGGCCCAGACUCCUACGGGAGGCAGCAGUGGGGAAUAUUGCGCAAUGGGCGAAAGCCUGACGCAGCGACGCCGCGUGAGGGAUGAAGGCCUCGGUUGUAAACCUCUUUCAGCAGGGACGAAGCGAAGUGACGGUACCUGCAGAAGAAGCACCGGCUAACUACGUGCCAGCAGCCGCGGUAA
rnacentral:rRNA from 1 species